UACUGAUGGUGAAUUACUGUAGUCUAAGGAAUCCAUAAAAUGCCAGAUAAAUAGUGGUUUUGAUGACUGUCUUUGUGACGUGUUGAAAAGGGGCUGAUCUAGCAAAUCGGACAGAUCUUUAAACAAUUGCAUUUUGAUUGGCAACCUUUGUUGUGAGGUAGGGCUGCUGACUUUGGUUAUACUUUUAAGUAUGGUCUUGAUGGGAUAAGAGGAAAGGAAACUGGUAUUGUUUGGGAAACUAGAGUACAUAUGAUGUUCGAUGCCAGUCAAGUAUAAUUUGAUGGUAUUAUGAGACAGCCUUACUUUAAGGUGGCAAAAAGUAGCGAAAGUUACCAGAGAUGAAAUGUCAAACAUGUUAUUUAAGAGAUGUUCCAUCAUGAAUCUUUAGUACAGAGAGAAAGCCCUAUCGUAUGAUCGACAGGUAUUAGUUGAUGGAG